UACGGAGGAUGCAAGCGUUAUUCGGAAUCACUGGGCUUAAAGGGUGCGUAGGCGGCUGUCUAAGCAGGGUGUGAAAGCCCCCGGCUCAACCGGGGAAUUGCGUUCUGAACUGGACGGCUGGAGUGGGAUAGGGGUGUGUGGAACUUCCGGUGGAGCGGUGAAAUGUGUUGAUAUCGGAAGGAACGCCGGUGGCGAAAGCGACACACUGGGUCUCAACUGACGCUGAGGCACGAAAGCCAGGGGAGCGAACGGG
rnacentral:rRNA from 1 species